rnacentral:lncRNA from 1 species
AUACUGUAUUCCACAGUGGCUGCACUACUUUACAGUCCUGCCAACAGCAUGCAAGGGUCCUGGUUUCUCCACAUCCUUGCUAACAUUUGUUUUUUUUCUGUUUUUUUUUUUUGUUGUUGUUGUUGUUGUUGAUAGUGACCAUCCUGUUGAGUGUAAGAUGGUGUCUUAUUGUGGUUUUGAUUUGCAUUUUCCUAAUGAUUAGUGAUGCUGAUCAUCUUUUCAUGUGCUUAUUGGUCCUUUGCAUAUUUUCUUUGGAGAAUUAUCUACUUGCCCAUUUUUAUAUCAACCUUCUUAAUUUU